GUCAUUUUUACGUAGAAAUUACUUUGUCAAACACAACAAGCGCAAAUGUUGCAGAGGGCGGGGUUGGUGGGGCAAAGAGCGGCUACACAAUCGCAAGACCAUGCAACCACAACCUCACACCCACUCCACCAACACCCCCAAUCAACCACUAGAAUUUGUAAUGAUCCUUCCGCAGGUUCACCUACGGAAA
rnacentral:misc_RNA from 1 species